rnacentral:rRNA from 1 species
AGUGAACGCUGGCGGUAGGCCUAACACAUGCAAGUCGAACGGCAGCACAGUAAGAGCUUGCUCUUACGGGUGGCGAGUGGCGGACGGGUGAGGAAUACAUCGGAAUCUACUUUUUCGUGGGGGAUAACGUAGGGAAACUUACGCUAAUACCGCAUACGACCUACGGGUGAAAGCAGGGGAUCUUCGGACCUUGCGCGAUUGAAUGAGCCGAUGUCGGAUUAGAUAGUUGGCGGGGUAAAGGCCCACCAAGGCGACGAUCCGUAGCUGGUCUGAGAGGAUGAUCAGCCACACUGGAACUGAGACACGGUCCAGACUCCUACGGGAGGCAGCAGUGGGGAAUAUUGGACAAUGGGCGCAAGCCUGAUCCAGCCAUACUGCGUGGGUGAAGAAGGCCUUCGGGUUGUAAAGCCCUUUUGUUGGGAAAGAAAAGCAGCAGGUUAAUACCCCGCUGUUCUGACGGUACCCAAAGAAUAAGCACCGGCUAACUUCGUG